UUACGGCCAUAUAACGUUGAAAUACCAGUCCCCCUACGAUCAUCAAAAUUAAGCAACGUCGAACAUGGUCAGUAGCUAGAUGGGUGACCGCUUGGGAAUAUCACGUGCUGUAAG